rnacentral:rRNA from 1 species
GACGAACGCUGGCGGCGUGCUUAACACAUGCAAGUCGAACGGAAAGGCCCUGCUUUUGUGGGGUGCUCGAGGGGCGAACGGGUGAGUAACACGUGAGUAACCUGCCCUUGACUUUGGGAUAACUUCAGGAAACUGGGGCUAAUACAGGAUAGGAGCUCCUGCUGCAGGGUGGGGGUUGGAAAGUUUCGGCGGUUGGGGAUGGACGCGCGGCUUAUCAGCUUGUUGGUGGGGUAGUGGCUUACCAAGGCUUUGACGGGUAGCCGGCCUGAGAGGGUGACCGGCCACCUUGGGCCUGAGAUACGGCCCAGACUCCUACGGGAGGCAGCAGUGGGGAAUAUUGCACAAUGGGCGGAAGCCUGAUGCAGCAACGCCGCGUGCGGGAUGACGGCCUUCGGGUUGUAAACCGCUUUCGCCUGUGACGAAGCGUUAGUGACGGUAAUGGGUAAAGAAGCACCGGCUAACUACGUG